rnacentral:tRNA from 1 species
AUUUUUAUAGUAUAUUAUAAUAGUACAAUUAACUUCCAAUUAAUAAGAUUAAAUUUAAUAAAAAUA